ensembl:lncRNA
GGUCGCCUUGCCUCGCUCUCCUUUCUGGUCAGAUUACGAUCAUGCCUAGGCGUCCAUGACAUCUGUGUACUCCUCUAUUGCUGUCUGCUUCCCCAGGCGCUCUUUGGCACAGGGUGUCCGGCCAGAAGGAGCCACCGGCGGGGAACUCGAUGCAGGCAACCGCCGUCAGCUCCUUGGAGCAGUUGCUUGCGCACGGGUGGCAGUGUUUGCCUCCUGGGUAGACCAGCUAAUGAGGCUCCAGAAACAGAGUAGAUGGCAUACGGACAUGGUUCAAAGCAGCAGAGAUUACAGUUUAUAAGAAGGGACUAGGACCUGCUCUCCUUGAGGCAGAAGAAAUCACUGGGAUAAAAUAUGAGUCUUUGUAGUUGCAAGUCUUAUCCUUUGGGAUUGUACAAGCAAAAUUCACUGUGGAGGCAAGGUGCUCAGUCGUGUCUGACUUUUGUGACCCCAUGGACUGUAGCCCACCAGGCUCCUCUGUCCAUGGAGUUCCCCAGAUUAAUAUAGGUGAUCUGAUUGCUCAGCAGAGGGAUAGAAGAUGGGGUUGAAGAGUAACAGAAACCUCCAAGUUCAAGUUCAGCUACAUCUAUCCAGCUACAAACUGUAUUUCCCAGCUUCCCUUGGAGACAGGUCUAGAUACAUGACUACAUUCCGCCUCAUGGAAUAUGAAGGAAGGGGGACCUCUUCCAGGAUCUGAGAGUGAACUCUUGUCUAACGCUCAGAAAUGAAUUGCCCAAGGGGACUCAAGGACAGCCAAAGCAAAAGACUUCAUUAAGAAGGGGUACAGUUAUUCCCCUAUCCUUGAAAAUGUUCUCCACAUUGGAAAUGACUCAUGAUUCUUCGGAAAUCUACACAAACACUGAUUUAUUCAAGUGAUUUCUUUGGCUAUUUAUGGUCUUUCAAGUCAAUAAAGGUCCGUCUAGUCAAGGCUAUGGUUUUUCCAGUGGUCAUGUAUGGAUGUGAGAGUUGGACUGUGAAGAAAGCUGAGCGC